rnacentral:rRNA from 1 species
GUGUCAGCAGCCGCGGUAAUACGGAGGGUGCAAGCGUUAUCCGGAUUCACUGGGUUUAAAGGGUGCGUAGGUGGACUUGUAAGUCAGUGGUGAAAGCCCGGAGCUCAACUCCGGAACUGCCAUUGAUACUGCAGGUCUUGAGUACACUUGAGGUGGGCGGAAUACAUCAUGUAGUGGUGAAAUACUUAGAUAUGAUGUAGAACACCGAUUGCGAAGGCAGCUCACUAAAUUGUAACUGACACUGAGGCACGAAAGCGUGGGGAUCAAACAGGAUUAGAUACCCCCGUAGUCC